ACCGAGUGAGGGCCCUCUGGGUCCAACCUCCCACCCGUGUUUAACGAACCUUGUUGCUUCGGCGGGCCCGCCUCACGGCCGCCGGGGGGCAUCCGCCCCCGGGCCCGCGCCCGCCGAAGACACCUGUGAACACUGUCUGAAGUUGCAGUCUGAGAAACUAGCUAAAUUAGUUAAAACUUUCAACAACGGAUCUCUUGGUUCCGGCAUCGAUGAAGAACGCAGCGAAAUGCGAUAAAUAAUGUGAAUUGCAGAAUUCAGUGAAUCAUCGAGUCUUUGAACGCACAUUGCGCCCUCUGGUAUUCCGGAGGGCAUGCCUGUCCGAGCGUCAUUGCUGCCCUCAAGCACGGCUUGUGUGUUGGGCCCCCGUCCCCCCCACCGGGGGGACGGGCCCGAAAGGCAGCGGCGGCACCGCGUCCGGUCCUCGAGCGUAUGGGGCUCUGUCACCCGCUCUUGUAGGCCCGGCCGGCGCCAGCCGACCCCCCUCAAUCUAUUUUUUCAGGUUGACCUCGGAUCAGGUAGGGAUACCCGCUGAACUUAAGCAUAUCAAUAAGCGGAGGAAAAGAAACCAACCGGGAUUGCCCUAGUAACGGCGAGUGAAGCGGCAAGAGCUCAAAUUUGAAAGCUGGCCCCCUCGGGGUCCGCAUUGUAAUUUGCAGAGGAUGCUUCGGGAGCGGUCCCCAUCUAAGUGCCCUGGAACGGGCCGUCAUAGAGGGUGAGAAUCCCGUAUGGGAUGGGGUGCCCGCGCCCGUGUGAAGCUCCUUCGACGAGUCGAGUUGUUUGGGAAUGCAGCUCUAAUUGGGUGGUAAAUUUCAUCUAAAGCUAAAUAUUGGCCGGAGACCGAUAGCGCACAAGUAGAGUGAUCGAAAGAUGAAAAGCACUUUGAAAAGAGAGUUAAACAGCACGUGAAAUUGUUGAAAGGGAAGCGCUUGCGAUCAGACUCGCCCACGGGGUUCAGCCGGCAUUCGUGCCGGUGUACUUCCCCGCGGGCGGGCCAGCGUCGGUUUGGGCGGUCGGUCAAAGGCCCCUGGAAUGUAACGCCUCUCGGGGCGUCUUAUAGCCAGGGGUGCCAUGCGACCUGCCCGGACCGAGGAACGCGCUC
rnacentral:sRNA from 1 species